AUUGAACGCUGGCGGCAGGCCUAACACAUGCAAGUCGAGCGGAAGGGGCUUCGGCCCUGAGAGCGGCGGACGGGUGAGGAGAGCGUGGGAAUCUGCCUGUAGAUGGGGGAUAGCCCGGAGAAAUCCGGAUUAAUACCGCAUAAUACCUGAGGGUUAAAGUGGAGGAUCGCAAGACUUCACGUCUACAGAUGAGCCCACGUCAGAUUAGCUAGUUGGUAGGGUAAAGGCCUACCAAGGCGACGAUCUGUAGCUGGCCUGAGAGGGUGGCCAGCCAGACUGGAACUGAGACACGGUCCAGACUCCUACGGGAGGCAGCAGUGGGGAAUAUUGGACAAUGGGCGCAAGCCUGAUCCAGCCAUGCCGGGUGUGUGAAGAAGGCCUUCGGGUUGUAAAGCACUUUAAGUUGGGAGGAAGGUUCCUUGGCUAAUAUCCAAGGGAAUUGACGUUACCGACAGAAUAAGCACCGGCUAAUUCCGUGCCAGCCGCCGCCGUAA
rnacentral:rRNA from 1 species